rnacentral:rRNA from 1 species
GGAAUAUUGCACAAUGGGGGGAACCCUGAUGCAGCAACGCCGCGUGAGUGAAGAAGUAUUUCGGUAUGUAAAGCUAUAUCAGCAGGGAAGAUAAUGACGGUACCUGACUAAGAAGCUCCGGCUAAAUACGUGCCAGCAGCCGCGGUAAUACGUAUGGUGCAAGCGUUAUCCGGAUUUACUGGGUGUAAAGGGAGCGUAGGUGGUCUGGCAAGUCAGGAGUGAAAUACCGGGGCUCAACCCCGGAGCUGCUCGUGAAACUGUCGGACUAGAGUGCAGGAGGGGUAAGUGGAAUUCCUAGUGUAGCGGUGAAAUGCGUAGAUAUUAGGAGGAACACCGGUGGCGAAGGCGGCUUACUGGACUGUAACUGACACUGAGGCUCGAAAGCGUGGGGAGCAAACA